CCCGGCGGCAUUUAUGUUUCGAAACUUCUCCGUUUAAUUCUCUCAUUUCACCUCUAUUUCAUGCAUGAAGACAACUUUGGGAUGUCCAGCCAGAGAUGUUUUUCACAAGAGUAUAAUGACAAGUACUGAGCUAUGGAUUCAAUUUGCCUCACCACCAUCCCCAUUUUCAAGCAAGAACCAGCAAGAUCUAGAGAAUAUCAAGACCGCAUCAUCAGAAAUGUUUUUCCUUGUGUAGCAAAAAGUGCUGAGCUAUGGAUUCACUUCACCUCAAUGCCAUACCCAAUUUCUAGGAAGGAUCAAUUCAUAUUGUGAACUUAUAGAGGAUCAAUAUUGGAGACAAACAGGCAACAGAGCUUAAGACAGCGACUGGCCAGGAUGGUGCUGGCAAGCUGCGACAAUGUGUACAACUGUUGGGGGAGAAACUGGAGCCAAGCAUAUCGGGUUCUCUAAGCAUAACCAUGUACCAGUAAGAUGUUACGGGAGUCACAACCUUGAGGGGAUUUAGGUCUUUACCUGUCCCAAUCCUGGCCAUGCUGUAGAUCAUGAUCCGGUCCAUGUAUAGUUGACCAGAGGGACGCGUAAUGACGUUACGGAGUGGGAGCCGCAAGAUUGGGGCAAGAGAUGGCGUGGUAACCAAGGACAGUGCCAAAGGGAGACGUGAGAAUGACAGAGUGAGCACACAUGGUUUUAAGAUUGGAGGAGAGGGAUAUCACAGAGGUCUGGAAAAACUAUUGCUAACUAGGAUGCACCCGCAUCUAGGACACCUGCUGUAAAGGAGGCCUGGGCAAUUAUCUAAUAGUUAUGUGGCUUUCCCUCAAACUGUAUACUCUUUCAUGUCGAUUGUAAAUUAGUGUUGCUUGGUAGUAGUGUUCAGGGUCUUUUUGUCGAACAGGCACAUCUGCAUACCAGUAGUUAUGUGCAGACUUGGCUCUUUCUUUGGAGCAGUACAGUUGUAAGAUAAAUCCUGUUUGUAAUUUUAUAAAUUAGUUGCUCAUUAAGGGCUUACGAAGGUUUUGAUGCCUUGCUGGCAUAUCUGCAUACCAGUAAAUAUGUGCAGAUUCAUUUCUUGCUUUGAAGCAAUAUUGUUGCUACACUCCUAAAGCGGUGGCAAUGUUCAGGUCUUUUCAGCCUUGCGGGCAAAUCUGCAUACCAGUAAUUAUGUGCAGACUUGGCUCUUCCUGAGAUUGUAAGACUGGGACCAUAGAAUGUAACAAAAAUAAUCGAUGCCUAUUUACAAAUGAAAUGAAGAGUCUGCAUUUUGGUGCAACUCCAUAUAACUGUCCGGUGAUUUCGCUCUGAACUUGUGACACUCUGAUCGGUCUGAAAUAAUCAUUAUCCCGCCCCUCUGGGAAAAUUUUGCAGCCAGAUUGCACCAUUUCCUGUUACCGUCUGAGAGAUGGCGAUGUCAGGGGCGCAUGACGGUGGUUAAACCUAUUGCGAAUGGGCAGCACAAUUGGGUGUAGGAUAUUCGGAAACCAUUGCACACUCCUGAAUCUGCGGUGGGUUGGUACCCCACGCUACGUAAGGAGUAGGUUGACGGGUAAAACUUGGUCCACGUGAAUGGGUCGUGCCUUAAAAAUGAUGAGAAGUUGCGAAUUGACGCCCUGUGAAGUGUCCCUCGACCAGCUAGUGCUAAUCCGGUCACUGUCUCCAGGUCACCACGCCUCGGUCAAUGAGCGGGCGAAGCACCCAAUGGCUCCGUCAGGAGUACAUCGUCAACUUCAGCCCGUAGUCAAACCGGUACACGCACAAAUAUCUUAGUUGAGAGUGGGGGACAUCAGUAAAUGCUUCUCAUCGGGGUAAUACAGUACCACUGUAUACAAUGACCCCAUUUUUUGUUGGAUAAUCAUUUCCGCUGAGGAGUGGUCGAUAAUGAGAAUUUCAGGCCAGUCUGAUUAUCACCAGUACAGAGGGCAAUUAUCUAAUAGUUAUGUGGCUUUCCCUCAAACUGUAUACUCUUUCAUGUCAAUUGUAAAUUAGUGUUGCUUGGUAGUAGUGUUCAGGGUCUUUUUGUCGAACAGGCACAUCUGCAUACCAGUAGUUAUGUGCAGACUUUGCUCUUUCUUUGGAGCAGUACAGUUGUAAGAUAAAUCCUGUUUGUAAUUUUAUAAAUUAGUUGCUCAUUAAGGGCUUACGAAAGUUUUGAUGCCUUGCUGGCAUAUCUGCAUACCAGUAAAUAUGUGCAGAUUCAUUUCUUGCUUUGAAGCAAUAUUGUUGCUACACUCCUAAAGCGGUGGCAAUGUUCAGGUCUUUUCAGCCUCGCGGGCAAAUCUGCAUAGCAGUAAUUAUGUGCAGACUUGGCUCUUCCUGACAUUGUAGGACUGGGUCCAUUGAAUGUAACAAAAAUAAUCGAUGCCUAUUUACAAAUGAAAUGAAGAGUCUGCAUUUUGGUGCAACUCCAUAUAACUGUCAGGUGAUUUCGCUCUGAACUUGUGACACAACUCCAUAUAACUGUCAGGUGAUUUCGCUCUGAACUUGUGACACUUUGAUCGGUCUGAAAUAAUCAUUAUCUCGCCCCUCUGGGAAAAAUUUGCAGCCAGAUUGCACCAUUUCUGGUUACCGUCUGAGAGAUGGCGAUGUCAAGGGCGCAUGACGGUCAGGUGAUUUCGCUCUGAACUUGUGACACUCUGAUCGGUAGAAAUCAAUGAUGGGCAGAAAGAACCACUCCCUGUGUUUGUCUUUGACUUAAGAUCCUAAUCACUCUAGGAAUUUCUGUUAUUCUUUUUACCACGAGCAGGCCCAUUUAGGCCUACA